rnacentral:rRNA from 1 species
GAUGAACGCUGACAGAAUGCUUAACACAUGCAAGUCAACUGUGGCGGACGGGUGAGUAACGCGUAAAGAACUUGCCUCCCAGAUAGGGACAACAUUUGGAAACGAAUGAUAAUACCUGAUACUGUGAGAGAGCUUUGCGUCCCAUUAGCUAGUUGGAUAGGUAACGGCUCAGCAAGGAGAUGAUGGGUAGCCGGCCUGAGAGGGUGAUCGGCCACAAGGGGACGGAGACACGGCCCUUAUUCCUACGGGAGGCAGCAGUGGGGAAUAUUGUACAAUGGACCAAAGUCUGAUCCAGCAAUUCUGUGUGCACGAUGAAGUUUUCGGAAUGUAAAGUGCUUUCAGUUGGGAAGCAGUACCAACAGAAGAAGUGACGGCUAAAUACGUGCCAGCAGCCGCGGUAAUUC